AUCAUUUUUUUAACAUGAGCUUUAAUACAAUUUUUAAAUCUGUUGUUAUCAGUUUAAUAUCUGAUCUGUUCUCUAUAUGAGAACUUUAUAUUAUAUGGAUUUGUAGAACAGGGAGAUGGACUAGGAGCUUGCUCCUUCCACUCCACACAUCAACCUGGUCUUACAGUACUUCCCGGCAUGGUGCACCUGCC
rnacentral:snRNA from 1 species